AUUGAACGCUGGCGGCAGGCCUAACACAUGCAAGUCGAGCGGAGCGGCGGACGGGUGAGUAAUGCCUAGGAAUCUGCCUGUUCGUGGGGGAUAACGUCCGGUAACGGGCGCUAAUACCGCAUACUAUCAGAUGAGCCUAGAUCGGAUUAGCUAGUUGGUGGGGUAAAGGCCUACCAAGGCGACGAUCCGUAACUGGUCUGAGAGGAUGAUCAGUCACACUGGGACUGAGAAACGGUCCAGACUCCUACGGGAGGCAGCAGUGGGGAAUAUUGAACAAUGGGCGAAAGCCGGAACCAGCCAUGCCGCGUGUGUGAAGAAGGUCUUCGGGUUGUAAAGCACUUUAAGUUGGGAGGCGUUACCAGCAGAAUAAGCACCGGCUAACUUCGUGCCAGCAGCCGCGGUAAUUC
rnacentral:rRNA from 1 species